rnacentral:tRNA from 1 species
CCAAAUUGGUGUAACUAACACAAUAAGUUGUAAACUUAGAGAUGCAGUUGCAUUGGUUGGGCC